CCUACGGGAGACAGCAGUGAGGAAUAUUGGUCAAUGGACGAGAGUCUGAACCAGCCAAGUAGCGUGAAGGAUGACUGCCCUAUGGGUUGUAAACUUCUUUUAUAUGGGAAUAAAAUGUUCCACGUGUGGGAUUUUGUAUGUACCAUAUUAAUAAGGAUCGGCUAACUCCGUGCCAGCAGCCGCGGUAAUACGGAGGAUCCGAGCGUUAUCCGGAUUUAUUGGGUUUAAAGGGAGCGUAGGUGGAUUGUUAAGUCAGUUGUGAAAGUUUGCGGCUCAACCGUAAAAUUGCAGUUGAAACUGGCAGUCGUGAGUACAGUGGAGGUAGGAGGAAUGCGUGGUGUAGCGGUGAAAUGCUUAGAUAUCACGAAGAACUCCGAUUGCGAAGGCAGCUCACUAGACUGCGACUGACAGUGAGGCUCGAAAGUGUGGGUAUCAAACAGGAUUAGAUACCCUUGUAGUC
rnacentral:rRNA from 1 species